GUGAAGCUUGUGUUUGGGACACAGAAGUAGAAGCCACUUGCAAAAGGAAUAUAAAGCGGCAGCUGCAUCAUCUCCAUUGUUGUCUUCAAUCCCUCUUCCUACUCUGGAGCAACUUCUCUACAAACUGGAACCCUGGAACAAAGAACUGAAUGAUAUGGAUGUCUACCAGAGAGCUUUCAAGCCAGAAACUCACCAAUACUCUAAGAACCAGAUAUAUAGAUUCUGAAUGUAUCUGACUGUUUCCAUUUUAACACUUCCUUUUUCUUCUUUCUUUUGAUAAUAAGCCUUUAGUUUAGAUGCUUUCUUGCUUAUAAACCUUUAGUUUAGAUGCUAAGGAUUGGCUGCAUCAUAUAUUCUGGGUAAGAUCCAAAUUAUACAGACCUCAGGUAAAUAUGGCUGACUCUGGGGUCAGAAGAAACUGUUGUUUAUGUGAGCAGAGUUUUUAAAUCACUUCUCACUGUGCCGACCUAGGUGCUGAUUGGUAGUCAGAGAACUGGAAUGCAGUAAAGGGGGCUGUGAUGUCUUUUUUUUUCAGUUUCUGGUAACCAGUGUGGGGGAUCAGAAGACAGUUGUGAUGAUCUGGUGAAUUUAACUUCUGUGUAACCCCCAGUUGUGGAGCAUCUGCUCUCCCUUUUUCAGCCUGCUCUGAUCUUGGCUUUUUCAGUGUGGACUGCCACAGGCACACUGGGUCACACUUAGCACUGAAGUUAAAUUAAUAGUGUUUUUUAUGACACAGUCAUAUGAAAUCAAACUAACUCCUUUGUUUCUUUCAUCUGAGCAGGGUUUCAGUUUCCAAACCUCAUAUAAUCUCCAGCUGGAACACGGGGAAGAGCCAUGGUCCCAGACCUCCAGGUUCAGAGGAAAGAGAGAUCCUGAGAAUUCCCUGCACAGCAGGUGAUGCAACGCGUGUGAGAAAGAGGACAGUAUUCUCAGCAGGAAAAAUGUUGAGCAAGCGGCUAAACACAGAGAAUAUCACAUAGAUCAAAAAGAAUUGUGUCCAGAGUCAUGAACAUGGAAAAUGCUGUGAGAUUCACACAGACCAGAAAGAGAGCAAGGAAACCAUCCAGGGGAGAGAAUGGGUAAAUUUUAUUCCUGUCGGGGAACUCAGAAGAUCGUCAAGGAAACCACAACACAGCAGGAAAUCCUCAUGGGAAAGUGGAAAAAUACAUGCAGUGAGUGGG